ensembl:lncRNA
AUAUGAUUUUUUUUCUUUGUCUUUUUUUUUCUUUUUAUGGCCGUACCUGCAGCAUAAGGAAGUUCCCUGUCUACAGGUUGAGUUGGAGCUGCAACUGCAGGCCUACGCCACAGCCACAGCAACACCAGCUCUGAGCCACGUCUUCGACCUAUACCACAGCGUGCAGCAGUGCUGGAUCCUUAACCCACUGAGCAAGGCUAGGGAUCGAACCUGCAUCCUCAGGGAUACUAGUCAGGUUCUUAACCUGCUGAGCCAUAACAGGAGCUCGCAGUUCUCACAGUUUUAAAGGCUACUUUCCAUAUGCAGAUAUUACAAAGUAUUGGCUGUAUUCCUCAUGCCAUGCAAUACAUCCUUGAGCCUGUCUUAUACCCAGUAGUUUGUACCUCCCACUCCCCCCACUGCAAAUCACCCCUCCUCCCCAUCCCCACUGGUAACCACUGGUUUGUUCUCUGUGAUCUGUGCAUCUGCUUCUUUUUUGUUUUAUUCACUAGUUUGUUGUACUUUUUAGAUUUCCCACGUGAGUGAUAUUAUACAGUAUUUGUCUUAUCUCAUUUUCCCUCCAAGUCUACCCAUGUGGCUGCAAAUGGUACAAUUUUGUUCUUUUUUAUGGCUCAGGAGGAUUUCAAUACCCCUCUUUUUGCCUCCGUCAGGGGCUGACCACAGGAUGUGGAAGUCCAUUUGGCAAACAAGGGAGAGCACUGAUUAGCCAUCUGUGGAUGCUGUAUGAAUCCCUGAUACUCGGGCAUUCCCUGAGCUGUGCAUGAAAUGACACUGGCUCACACUUUUAAAUACCUUUAUUUUAGAAGACCAUCGAGUAAGUAUUCAUUUUGGAGUCUCUACUUUCCAAACGGCCCAUUCGAGGAAAUCCUGGGGUGUCCAAAGGUCCUGAGUUUGUCCUGCGGGAACGUUAUGUCAUAGUAACAAAUGCUUAAGGAUUAGUUUAUUUCCAGCCCUGCAGAGGCUAUAAAUUGCUUCCUAAAAUUUUGUUCUCCAGCACUGUGAUGUUUAUGUUGCUAUGGUGGUGUGUCUCUUGCUUGGGUGUCGAGAUUGCCAUUGGAAAUAGAUGGGCCAAAAUAACAGCUUAACAGGUGGCUGUGCUUUGUGAUGUUGUUUAUAAAACUACUUUAUCAAGUCCAGUGCCAGUGAAUCACGCCACUGUGCCCUUUACUGUAUUUUGUAGUUCAGCACAUUUUUUUUUCCUUAGCACAUUCCUCCCGUUUCCUGUUAAAACUUUUCCCCCUUUUCAGGCAGCGCCAAGCUGAUUUCCUCUCCACAAGGAAAGAUUUCCGUUCAUUGUAUGUAGCAGUGGAUGUCCUUUCCUUAUUUUCUGUAAUUGGAACCCUCCUUCUAAAAAUAACCCUUCUUUUUUUAAUGUGAUUCUUUUUAAAGCUAAUGUGCUCUUUAUUUAAAUAAGCCUCUUUUUAAUGCACUGUUUACAUAUAUAUGUACAUAUACACAUAUAUAUGUAUACAUGUACAUGUAUGAAUAUAUAUUUCCAUGCAAGGACUGUCCAUAGUUGAAUGCGAUAGUAGAAAUUGUUUCCAUUGAUCUGUCAUUAAGCUCUCAUUUGUUGCUUAUGAUCAUUUUCUUUCUUUCUUUUUUUUUUUGUCUUUUUGCUAUUUCUUGGGCCGCUCCCGCGGCAUAUGGAGGUUCCCAGGCUAGGGGUCUAAUCGGAGCUGUAGCCACCAGCCUACGCCAGAGCCACGGCAACGCGGGAUCCGAGCCGCGUCUGCAAACUACACCACAGCUCACGGCAAUGCCAGAUCCUUAACCCACUGAGCAAGGGCAGGGACCGAACCCUCAACCUCAUGGCUCCUAGUCGGAUUCGUUAACCACUGCGCCAUGACAGGAACUCCCAUUUUCUUUCUUUUUAAAAAUUUUUUAUUAAAAAAUUAAAAAAAAAUUUUUUUUAAUUUAUUUUGGCUGCUCCUGUAGCAUGCAGAAGCUCCCAAGCCAGGGCUCGAACCCACAUCACUGCUGUGGCUCUGGUCACAGCAGUGACAAUGCAGGAUCCUUUAUUGACUAGGCCACCAGGGAACUCCUUAUGAUCAUUCCCUUUCUUUCUUUCCUUCCUUCUCUCUCUCUCUCUGUCUCUCACUUCCCUUCCCUUCCCAUAUGCUUACCUUGGUUGCAUCUUCCUUCCUUCAUUUUUUCCCACUUUUGGUCACCUUGUGGCAUAUGGAGCUCCAGGGCCAGGGAUCAGAUCCGAGUUAAGCCGCAGCUGCAGCAACCCUGGAUUCUUAACCCACUUGCUGGCCGGGGAUUGAACCUUUGUCCCAGUGCUCCCAAGAUGCCCGCCAAUCCCAUUUUGCCACAGCAGGAGCUCUGAUCCUUUUCUUCUUCUGAGAUAAAAUUGUAGAGAGAACAUGAGUAUUGAAACAGUUCAGCUUCCUACCCACUGUAAGAAUCCUUUCUGUUGUCAUCUUGCAUGGCUCUCACCUUGCCUUUUAGCUUAAAUACCAGCAUGGCGGGGUGCUGGCUGUCUUGCGAUAAGGCCUCUGUGAUUGUCUACUUCGUUGUGAGAGAAGACUCUUUCUAAUGUUUAGUUGAUGUCUGCCUCUCUAGAACUUGUCAUUUUCCCUUCUAUAGUUACACAAGCACAAGCCACUUCCCCAUGCAGGCUCUUUAAAGAAAACUAUAAUAUUUAAAGAAAACUAUAAUGUUGUCCUUUGAUUUUCUAUUCUGUUGGCGUAAUAUCCACAAUCCCCUCGACAAUUCACCUUAAGAAAGAGUUUCCCGAGUCCCUUCCCACCCCCAUGGACGUGGAUCUCCUCUGUUUUUGCCCUUUCAAAAAUAUUGAACGCCGUGCUCCAGAGCAAGGGUCAAUAAACCUUUUCUGUAAAAGGCCAAAUAGAACUAUUUUAGAAUUGCAGGCCGUAAGGUUGCAACAACUCUUGCAACAGCUCAGUUCUGACCUUGCAUCACAAAAGCAGGCAGAGACGAUAUAUACACGAACAGGCAUGGCUGUGUUCUGAUAAAAUUUUAUGUAUAGACCUGGAAAUUUGAAUUUCAUAUCAUUUGCGCAUGUCAUGAAAUUUAUUCUUUUGCUUUCUUUCAACCAUUUAAAAACACAAAACCCAUUUGUCGCUCGUGGGCCAUACCAAAACAGGUGCGGGCCAGGUUUGGCUCAAGAAUAUCGGAGGGCCAGGGCUGAAAAUAUGGGAACUGUUACUUCAGCACCUCAUGCCAUGUUGCUGCGUUAGUGUUUAGCAUUGUCAUUUUUGGAAGCUGCAGCAAACUGCUGGCUGGGAAGGUGAUCGGUUCACCCUGUUCUCAUCCACGUGAUCUCCUGGCAAAGCUAAGUCUCUCCAUCCGGUGUCUGAGAUCUAUGAAAACAAGCAGCCUUAUAGCAACAAGAGCCAUUACCGUAGGACUUUGAAAUGUAAAUGUGAUGAAUGGUGUCUGCUGAUUUCAAGUUUGACAAAAUGUUUUUGAUUCUUGCUUCUGUUAUUUUCUGUGUGAGCUGCUCCUCUUAGCUUAGUGGCAGAUGUGAUAAGCGUGCCUUUCUGGCUUCAUCCAACAACCUGCUGACUUUUUAGUCACAUCCACAUCAUAAAAUAUAGGUCAUAGCUGCUUACCUUGGUUGCAGAAACCGCUAAGCACUUGGGUAUAGCGAUGAAGCACUUGGGUAUAGCGAUGAAGCCCUUGGUUGUAUUAAUAAGCUUAAGAAUGGAUUGUUCUCCAUUUUUCCUCAUGAGUUUUCAUUUUUUAAAUUAUUUAUUUAUUUAUUUUUCUUUUUAUGGCCACUCCUGAGGCAUAUAGAAGUUCCAGGCUAGGGGUUGAAUCGGAGCUUCAGCUCACAGGUCUACACUGUAGCUUGUGGCAGCACCAGAUCCUUGACCCACUGAGUGAGGCCAGGGAUCAAACCCGAAUCCUCAUAGACACUAUGUUGGGUUCUUAAUCCACUGAGCCACAAUAGGAACUCCAGUUUUAAUUUUUUAAACAACGUUCUCAUGAGAUUUUUUUUUUUUUGUCUUUUUUGGGCCGUACCUGUUGCUUUUGGAGGUUCCCAGGUUAGGGGUCAAAUCGGGAGCUGCAGCUGCCGGCCUACACCACAGCCACAGCAAUGCCAGAUCCAAGCCUCAUCUGCGACCUACACCACAGCUCACGGCAAUGCCAGAUCCUUAACCCUCUGAUGGAGGCCAUCGAACCUGCGUCCUCGUGGAUACUAGUCAGAUGUCACAUGACAGGAUUUGCCAAAGGCAUGCGGAGAGGCAAUGGCAGAGUCGAAUUCCAAUCCAUGGCACGUUGGCUACAAAUUCCACUUGCUUUCUCCAAUAACAUCAGACUUUCCAGAGCCAAAAAGACGUUGACAUUCCUUCAUUAUCAAGGAAAAUGUAUUAACUCAAAUAGUUGAUCCUAAAAUGGAUAUGUGUUCCAGAAUUAGUUGCUGGAAGGAUACAUUUUUGGAGUAUAUAUCCCAGAAACUGUGGUAUAACAUAAAAAUAUUGACCUCUUUAAUGGAAAGAGAGUGCUUGAGUUAAAACUGUUUGUAUUUGCUGAUCUUUGCUAAAAACUGGAUGCAUAGAUAUAAUUUUAGAUAACCUUACAGCUAUUAUAAAUCUUGAGGGAAACCUUAAUUGUUUUUAGAAAGCUUCUGUGUUUAUCUAGACUCUGUCUUGCAAAAAAAGGCACUUCAAGAUGUCAUUCUAUGAAUAUUCCAAAACUAAAUAGAGCCUAGAUAAGAAUGUGUGAUAAUCUAAGAUAUCAUUUAAGUAUUGGCUUUAAAGAUAUUUUAUACUUCAAGUAGAAAAAACAAGUCUCCUAAAUAGGUUCUCUACAAUUCGCUAUGCUCUAAUUCCACUUUAUCCUGAGUGCUUAACAGCAGAUUUAUGAAAGGGAGAUGAAACAACUUUUCAGAAUAAAAACAUGAAACUCUGAAAGUAAAA